rnacentral:tRNA from 1 species
AAAAAUUUAGUUAAUUCACAUAACAUUGAUUUGUCAUAUCAAAAUUAUUUUAAAAUAUAAUUUUUU